rnacentral:rRNA from 1 species
UACGUAGGUGGCGAGCGAUACUCGGAAUCACUAGGCGUAAAGCGCAGGUAGGCGGUUCGGUAAGUCUCUUGUGAAAGCUCCCGGCUCAACUGGGAGAGGCCAAGGGAAACUACCGGGCUAGAAUGUGGCAGAGGAAGCUGGAAUUCCCAGUGUAGCGGUGAAAUGCGUAGAUAUUGGGAGGAACACCAGUGGCGAAGGCGGCUUACUGGACCGGUUCUGACGCUGAGGCGCGAAAGCGUGGGGAGCAAACGGG